UACGUAGGGUGCAAGCGUUGUCCGGAAUUAUUGGGCGUAAAGAGCUCGUAGGCGGUCUGUCACGUCUGCUGUGAAAACUCGGGGCUUAACCCCGGGCCUGCAGUGGGUACGGGCAGACUAGAGUGCGGUAGGGGAGACUGGAAUUCCUGGUGUAGCGGUGAAAUGCGCAGACAUCAGGAGGAACACCGGUGGCGAAGGCGGGUCUCUGGGCCGUAACUGACGCUGAGGAGCGAAAGCGUGGGGAGCGAACAGG
rnacentral:rRNA from 1 species